UGGGGAAUAUUGGACAAUGGGGGCAACCCUGAUCCAGCCAUGCCGCGUGCGUGAAGAAGGCCUUAGGGUUGUAAAGCGCUUUCGCCCGCGACGAUGAUGACGGUAGCGGGAGAAGAAGCCCCGGCUAACUCCGUGCCAGCAGCCGCGGUAAUACGGAGGGGGCGAGCGUUGUUCGGAAUUACUGGGCGUAAAGGGCGCGUAGGCGGCGAGAUCAGUCAGGCGUGAAAGCCCCGGGCUCAACCUGGGAUGUGCGUUUGAUACUAUCUUGCUCGAGACCGGAAGAGGAUGGCGGAAUACCCAGUGUAGAGGUGAAAUUCGUAGAUAUUGGGUGGAACACCAGUGGCGAAGGCGGCCAUCUGGUCCGGAUCUGACGCUGAGGCGCGAA
rnacentral:rRNA from 1 species